rnacentral:lncRNA from 1 species
GUGAUUCUUGUGCCUCAGCCUCCUCAGCAGCUGCAACUACAGGACGGUGGGUGACUGGCUCCCCUGGCCCUUCCUUGCUCUCAGCAAGAGCUCCUGCCACUGCCACAGUGGAAAAGGCCUGAAUUUGGGAAAUGAAGACGUCAGAGACUCGCAACUUCUUCUGAAAGCCCAGCCAACUUUCCUACAAGCAUGACUGCAGACGUGGAAGAGAAAAGGCAGAUGGCCUGGGUUCAAAGCCCAGCUUAAAAACACAUAUUCUAGCUUUGUGACCUUGGUCAUUUUGGUUUUACUUCCCUCAUCUGUAAAACGGGGAGAAUAAAGGUCUCUAACUUAUCUGGUCACUGUGAGGACUAAAUGAGUUAAUAUAUGUAGUAUACGCAGAACUAUGCCUGAUGUAUGGUAAGUUCUUAGUGUGUUUAUUGUUGUUGUUACAGGCUUAACCAUAGAUGGGCAGGGUUUCCUUUAAAAUUUCCUUUCAAUUUCCCUUUUAACCCCCAAAAAGUAUUCCAUAAAGAAACACAGGGCCCAGUGUGGUGGCUCAUGCCUGUAAUCCCAGCACUUUGG